GUAACGGCGAGUGAAGCGGGAUGAGCUCAAAUUUGAAAUCUGGCUGGUUUACUAGUCCGAGUUGUAAUUUAAAGAAGCGUUUUCGGUGGCAGCCUGGGUAUAAAUCCUUUGGAAUAGGGUAUCAUAGAGGGUGAGAAUCCCGUCUUUGACCUAGUGCAUGCUACUAUGUGAUACGUUUUCAAAGAGUCGAGUUGUUUGGGAAUGCAGCUCAAAAUGGGUGGUAAAUUUCAUCUAAAGCUAAAUAUUGGCGAGAGACCGAUAGCGAACAAGUACCGUGAGGGAAAGAUGAAAAGAACUUUGAAAAGAGAGUUAAACAGUGCGUGAAAUUGUUGAAAGGGAAACGUUUGACACCAGUCAUGUGGGUGGAAAAUCAGUCUUUUGCAUUGGGGAGUUGUAAGGGUUCGGACCGCAAGGCCGGCUUUUGCUUCAUCUUUGGUGUAAGUGAUGCACUUUUUCAUCUACAGGUCAACAUCAGUUUCUUUUGCUGGACAAAACUCCGAGAGAAGGUAGCAGCUUAGGCUGUGUUAUAGCUCUGGAGCGAUACAGUGAAGGGGACUGAGGUUUUCGCAGCGUGUGCUCUCGGGCAAGGCUGGAUGGGUGCUAUGGGAUCGUUCGGGGUACAAUGCCUGGCAUUUUGCUUCGUGUCUUUUCUAUACUCGCUCAACUCAGCUCUUCCACGCUUAGGAUGUUGACUUAAUGGU
rnacentral:rRNA from 2 species